GACAGGAGAUGUGUGAGACUGGAGAGGCCAGCCAACUUCACAAGUCAGGGAAAGCAGAACCUCUCCCCAGGGCCGCUACCCAAGGAUGCAGAGGGCCAGACUGCUGCAGAAGGAGUGGCUGACAGGGCUGCUAAAAAGGAGAGGGGAUUCUGAGGUCUGCAGAGCUUCAGGGAGCUCCUGGCUUUCGGGGCUUUCAGGGAUCGUCUACGUUCUUCAGUGUAUACAGUGACACUCAUCUCACAGACCUACUGGGAACUGAAAAGUGCUGAGUUGAGGAAACAUUGCCUGCCUACCGGAGGAGCAUCACUGCUUAGCAAUAUGGUACAUGAUAGACGAGAUUGUUCAUUCUCAUGACAGGGCACAUAACUGGGAGUCAUGUGAUUCACCAGCGCCAUCCAGCAUUCAGGCCACAAGUCCAGAAAGAGCAUGGAGUUCAAAAUUCACUUUCUACUGAGUAUGUUCUAAUCUUAAAAUAUCAAAGUACAACAAGCAAAACAAAAACAAAAACAAAAAUAAGUCAAACCUCACAAUUUGAGCACAGUUUAUACAUUCCUAGGUCAAUCAAACUGUGUCAGUUCCGGUAAAAAUUCACCCUCUGGUAUUCAUCCCUACCAUGUUUCCCUGAAGGCAGCAUGCAGUUCUCGACUACAAACUUUAAGUGUGGCCAUGUGACUUCUUUGAGCCAUGGAAUAUACCAGUGCCGUAGAAGCCACAACCAAAAGUAAGCUUAAAAUUGUGUUGGCACAUUCAACUUCACCCAGCCUCCUAAAAUGACAUCAUAUCUCAUUAGCCUGGAUUCCUGGGGGGGAAAUAAAAACAUUCCUGAAAGUCAGCAAUCAUUGUAAUCAUCACUGGAGGCAAUAUUGGCAAUGAAUCUCCAAGAGGCAAGA